rnacentral:rRNA from 1 species
UUAGCAUAUCAAUAAGCGGAGGAAAAGAAACCAACAGGGAUUGCCCUAGUAACGGCGAGUGAAGCGGCAACAGCUCAAAUUUGAAAUCUGGCUCUCGGGCCCGAGUUGUAAUUUGUAGAGGAUGAUUUUGGCAAGGUGCCUUCCGAGUUCCCUGGAACGGGACGCCAUAGAGGGUGAGAGCCCCGUCUGGUUGGACACCGAGCCUCUGUAAAUCUCCUUCGACGAGUCGAGUAGUUUGGGAAUGCUGCUCUAAAUGGGAGGUAUAUGUCUUCUAAAGCUAAAUAUUGGCCAGAGACCGAUAGCGCACAAGUAGAGUGAUCGAAAGAUGAAAAGCACUUUGAAAAGAGAGUUAAAAAGCACGUGAAAUUGUUGAAAGGGAAGCGCUUAUGACCAGACUUGGGCUUGGUUGAUCAUCCGGCGUUUUCGCCGGUGCACUCUUCCAGUUCAGGCCAGCAUCAGUUUGCGUCGGGGGAUAAAAGCUUCGGGAAUGUGGCUCCUCCGGGAGUGUUAUAGCCCGUUGCAUAAUACCCUGGUGCAGACUGAGGACCGCGCUUCGGCAAGGAUGCUGGCGUAAUGGUCAUCAGUGACCCGUCUUGAAACACGGACCAAGGAGUCGUCUUCGUAUGCGAGUGUUCGGGUGUCAAACCCCUACGCGUAAUGAAAGUGAACGCAGGUGAGAGCUUCGGCGCAUCAUCGACCGAUCCUGAUGUUCUCGGAUGGAUUUGAGUAAGAGCAUACGGGGCCGGACCCGAAAGAAGGUGAACUAUGCCUGUAUAGGGUGAAGCCAGAGGAAACUCUGGUGGAGGCUCGCAGCGGUUCUGACGUGCAAAUCGAUCGUCAAAUAUGGGCAUGGGGGCGAA